rnacentral:rRNA from 1 species
GAACGCUAGCGGCAGGCUUAACACAUGCAAGUCGAGGGGCAGCGCGUGGUAGCGAUACCAGUGGCGGCGACCGGCGCACGGGUGCGUAACGCGUAUGCGACCUGCCUGCGACAGGGGAUAACCCGGAGAAAUUUUGGACUAAUACCGCAUAACACCGCCGAGUUGCAUGACAUGGCGGUCAAAGGAGAGAUCCGGUCGCAGAUGGGCAUGCGUGACAUUAGCUGGUUGGUAGGGCAACGGCCUACCAAGGCGACGAUGUCUAGGGGAACUGAGAGGUUGGUCCCCCACACUGGUACUGAGACACGGACCAGACUCCUACGGGAGGCAGCAGUGAGGAAUAUUGGUCAAUGGAGGCAACUCUGAACCAGCCAUGCCGCGUGAGGGAAGUCGGCCCUAUGGGUUGUGAACCUCUUUUACAAGGGAGCAAUAAGCGCCGUGCGCGGCGUGAUGAGAGUACCUUGGGAAUAAGCAUCGGCUAACUCCGUGCC